rnacentral:lncRNA from 10 species
CUCAGGUAAACCUCUACGGUGCUCCUGUUGUCCCUUGUAGACAUCUCUACUGUGACAACAGUCACCCACAGAAUGGUCAUUACUGAUGUCCAUGUCUGUCUUCCCACUUUGCUGAGAGCUUGUUGAGGAAGAGCCUUUAUCUCUCUCUCUCUCUCUCUCUCUCCCUCUCCCUAGGGCCGGUUCCCAGACGGUGCCAUCCACAAUGUGGUCUGUGUGAAUGAUGCCUCUUGAAGUUCAAUAUGUAACCUGCAUGGCUGUACAGAAUGGCCCUAGAGAAGAGUGCUUGUUCCAUAAAUGCUUCUUGCCUUACACCGAGUAGCCGAGAAAGCUUUAUGUAGUUCUGUCAGCCAUUGAGAUACUCUUCUUUCACCACCACCCAGUGAAAAAUCAGGGGUUCUAGGUGGACCCCGAGUUUCUCCCCAAAGGUGAGGGAAGAGAGUCAG